GAUGAACGCUGGCGGCGUGCCUAAUACAUGCGAGUCGAGCGAACGGACGAGAAGCUUGCUUCUCGGAUGUUAGCGGCGGACGGGUGAGUAACACGUGGAUAACCUACCUAUAAGACUGGGAUAACUUCGGGAAACCGGAGCUAAUACCGGAUAAUAUUUUGAACCGCAUGGUUCAAAAGUGAAAGACGGUCUUGCUGUCACUUAUAGAUGGAUCCGCGCUGCAUUAGCUAGUUGGUAAGGUAACGGCUUACCAAGGCAACGAUGCAUAGCCGACCUGAGAGGGUGAUCGGCCACACUGGAACUGAGACACGGUCCAGACUCCUACGGGAGGCAGCAGUAGGGAAUCUUCGGCAAUGGGCGGAAGCCUGACGGAGCAACGCCGCGUGCGUGAUGAAGGUCUUCGGAUCGUAAAACUCUGUUAUUAGGGAAGAACAUAUGUGUACGUAACUGUGCACAUCUUGACGGUACCUAAUCAGAAAGCAACGGCUAACUACGUG
rnacentral:rRNA from 1 species